rnacentral:rRNA from 1 species
CACAUGCAAGUCGAGCGGAGNGAGGUGCUUGCACCUUAUCUUAGCGGCGGACGGGUGAGUAAUGCUUAGGAAUCUGCCUAUUAGUGGGGGACAACAUUCCGAAAGGAAUGCUAAUACCGCAUACGUCCUACGGGAGAAAGCAGGGGAUCUUCGGACCUUGCGCUAAUAGAUGAGCCUAAGUCGGAUUAGCUAGUUGGUGGGGUAAAGGCCUACCAAGGCGACGAUCUGUAGCGGGUCUGAGAGGAUGAUCCGCCACACUGGGACUGAGACACGGCCCAGACUCCUACGGGAGGCAGCAGUGGGGAAUAUUGGACAAUGGGGGGAACCCUGAUCCAGCCAUGCCGCGUGUGUGAAGAAGGCCUUAUGGUUGUAAAGCACUUUAAGCGAGGAGGAGGCUACUGAGACUAAUACUCUUGGAUAGUGGACGUUACUCGCAGAAUAAGCACUGGCUAACUCUGUGCCAGCAGCCGCGGUAAUACAGAGGGUGCGAGCGUUAAUCGGAUUUACUGGGCGUAAAGCGUGCGUAGGCGGCUUUUUAAGUCGGAUGUGAAAUCCCCGAGCUUAACUUGGGAAUUGCAUUCGAUACUGGGAAGCUAGAGUAUGGGAGAGGAUGGUAGAAUU